GGGAGUAUAGCUCAGUGGUUGAGCACAUGCCUAGUGUGCACAAGGUCCUGGGUUCAAUCCCCAGUAUGUCCA
rnacentral:tRNA from 1 species